AAACAACGUAAUAUAUUGCAACGAGUGCAAACUCGGAGUAUGAUUUGUUAAAAAACUUGAGAAAUUGAUAAUGAAAUGUGCGAAAGCUGAACAAAAUUGAUUAAUUAACUGUUCUCUAUUUUUACAUUCAAUCAAGAGCAAACACAAAUGAACAAUUUUCGUUUGCACUAACUGUUUUGUGUCACCGAUCGACCAAAGAACGAACAUUCGUAGUAUUGUUUUCUCUCUCUUUCUUUCUUUCUCUUUCAUUUUAUUUAAAAAUGACGUGCCGAUUGUUAUGUGUUUGAAAACCGAUUCUCCUAUUUACAUACGCUUUAUGCGUGUAAUUGUACAGAUAUUCGAAUAAGAAAACGACUGUCAUUAGCUUCCUUUGAUUGUGCCCUGAUCUCCGUUGACUGCAAUAAACUUUCAAGGUUUCCAAAGCGUCUCUAAGAAAGAAGUAACAGAAUGUGGCAGAAAUUACCAUAAAAAGCAAGAAAAAUCGGUGAACAUUCAAAUUGGUUUCACAGUAAAAACCAGAGGAAUCGAGCAACCUGAUGACAGUCGUCAAUUGAAGAAUUGAAUACACAGAUAUGGUUUUGAACACACAGAUGAUGAUGAAUAAAAUUCAAAUCAAAAUCAUGUAUCAACGUUAUCAACC